UACGUAGGGGGCAAGCGUUGUUCGGAAUUACUGGGCGUAAAGGGCGCGUAGGCGGCACGGCAAGUCAGGAGUGAAAGCCCGGGGCUCAACCCCGGAAUGUCUUUUGAAACUGCCGAGCUAGAGUGCGGAAGAGGCAACUGGAAUUCCCAGUGUAGCGGUGAAAUGCGUAGAUAUUGGGAAGAACACCUGAGGCGAAGGCGGGUUGCUGGGCCGACACUGACGCUGAGGCGCGAAAGCGUGGGGAGCGAACAGG
rnacentral:rRNA from 1 species